GUUUUGACACACGGCUGCCUCAUUUUCUCUUGCGCAUUAUCUCCUGUCUUCAGAGGCGACAAAGCUAGUAAGCUUCUCUGACAGGCAGCAAAGGUGCUGAUCCCCGAGGGGGGUGGUGGGUAAACGGUAAAUGCCAUCUAAAAAUACCCCACCCCCCAAUCCCUCCUCUUACCUCGUCUGACUCAGCUCGUCCCUUGGAGUAACCAGCAAAAAAUGAGCGAGGCAAUGGAAGAGUGACGACACUGAACUCAAAAGGAGUAAUUUCCUGUGACAUGGACAGAGAUAGCAGCAGCAGAUCAAUGCGUGAAAUUACAGCGUUUGCCCUUUUCCCUAUAUUAAGCUGCCCUAUGUCCGAGAGAAGACCCCUGAGCGCCGUUUGCUGAUCA